rnacentral:SRP_RNA from 1 species
GCCGGGCACAGUGGCGCAUGCCCGUAGUCCCAGCUACUCAGGAGGCUGAGGUGAAAGGAUUGCUUGAGCCCAGGAGUUCUGGGCUGUAAUGUGCUAUGCCAAUUGGGUGUCCACACUAAGUUCGGCGUCAAUAUGGUGACCUCCCGGGAGCGGGGGACCACCAGGUUGCCUAAGGAGGGGUGAACCGGCCCAGGUCAGAAAUGGAGCGGGUCAAAACUCCCAUGCUGAUCAGUAGUGGGAUCGUGCCUGUGAAUAGCCACUGCACUCCAGCCUGGGCAACAUAGCGAGACUCCAUCUCU